rnacentral:rRNA from 1 species
AGCGAACGCUGGCGGCAGGCUUAACACAUGCAAGUCGAACGGGCACCUUCGGGUGUCAGUGGCAGACGGGUGAGUAACACGUGGGAACGUACCCUUUGGUUCGGAACAACUCUGGGAAACUGGAGCUAAUACCGGAUACGCCCUGAUGGGGAAAGGUUUAUCUGCCGAAGGAUCGGCCCGCGUCUGAUUAGCUAGUGGUGGGGUAACGGCCCACCAAGGCGACGAUCAGUAGCUGGUCUGAGAGGAUGAUCAGCCACACUGGGAC